UACGAAGGGUGCAAGCGUUACUCGGAAUUACUGGGCGUAAAGCGUGCGUAGGUGGUUUGUUAAGUCUGCUGUGAAAGCCCCGGGCUCAACCUGGGAAUGGCAGUGGAUACUGGCAAGCUAGAGUGCGGUAGAGGGUAGUGGAAUUCCCGGUGUAGCGGUGAAAUGACGUAGAGAUCGGGAGGAACACCAGUGGCGAAGGCGGCUACCUGGACCAGCACUGACACUGAGGCACGAAAGCGUGGGGAGCAAACAGGG
rnacentral:rRNA from 1 species